rnacentral:rRNA from 1 species
GAUGAACGCUGGCGGCGUGCCUAAUACAUGCAAGUCGAACGCUGGAGAUCUAGCUUGCUAGAUCGAAGGAGUGGCGAACGGGUGAGUAAUACAUAAGCAACCUACCCACGAAGACUGGGAUAAUCUCUGGAAACGGGGACUAAUACCGGAUAGGUAAUCGGAAGGCAUCUUCUGGUUAUUAAAGGUUAAAAACACUGGUGGAUGGGCUUAUGGCGCAUUAGUUAGUUGGUGAGGUAACGGCCCACCAAGACGAUGAUGCGUAGCCGGCCUGAGAGGGUGAACGGCCACAUUGGGACUGAGACACGGCCCAGACUCCUACGGGAGGCAGCAGUAGGGAAUUUUCGGCAAUGGGGGCAACCCUGACCGAGCAACGCCGCGUGAGUGAGGACGGCCUUCGGGGUGUAAAGCUCUGUUGUAAGGGAAGAACGGUAGAUAGAGAAUAUCUAAGUGACGGUACCUUACCAGAAAGCCACGGCUAACUACGUG